UCCUCUCCUUUUCUCCUAAUUUAUAUUUAUGUUGGUCAUUUAUGUUUUGUAGUUUGAUAUUCCGCGCGUGUUUAUGUUUCUCUUCUAGAUUAACUAUGUUUGUAUUUGUUUCAUCUUUAAUUUGUCUUUUAUUUUUGCUGGGUUUCUUUUGUAGUGUAUUCUUGGAGUGAAUUAGUUUCUAAUUUUCUAUUUCCCAGCGUUUCAGGUUUGUGUUUCUCUGUCUCUCACUGUCUAUCUCUCCCUCUUUGUCUCAUAGGUUAACAAUCUUUCUAUAUGUUUGUGUUUGUUUUAUUUGUAAUUUUGUUGUUGUGUUUGUUUUGUAGAUUGUUUGUGGAAUAAAUUAGUUCGCAGAUUUUCAGGUUUUUAGUGCUUCCUCUAUAAGCCAAGCAUCUCUCUCCCUCGCUCUCAGUUUUAGAUUUGAAUACCAGGUCAGAAGUUAUUUUAGUGUCUUCUCAAUUACUCUCAUUUUGUUAAUUUUUUUAUUUUAUUAAUUUUUGGUAAAAGUGUGCUUAAUUUCUAUAAUCUGUUGUUCUAAUGAGAAUUAGUUCUUCACCCUGGAGCUCAAAUUCUCAGGCCAAAGAAGUGAUUUGUUGAUAAGAAAUUUUUGUUCUGUAGCAAUGGAAUGAGACCUAUCUGCAUUACCACAAAGUUGACCAUAAGAAGACAUACUGUCUGUCCAUGGAGUUUCGUAGGCCUUUUAAUUGUAGCCAAGUUUCCUUCUGCUCAACUAUAUUCAUUUUAUCAGGCACUAGCACAAGUUACGGUUCAGGCUUUACAAUGAUCACCAAAUUCACAGGCUCACAGCCACAGAACCAGUUAGAAUAUCCAUCAUCAGCAGCUCCAGCGGUAUCUUUCCCACAGUUUACAGCCUCAGUUUCCACUACAUCCGCAUACCAGCAAAUGCUUACUUCUGUGCCAGACCACAGUCUUCUGAAGCAAUCAUCACAGUUGUCUCAGUCUGAUGAUAUGAGGUCCCAACCUUCUUCUUCGACUGUCGACAAGCCUGCGGAUGAUGGCUACAACUUGCGAAGUCGAUACAAGUGCACACAUUCAAACUGUCCAGUCAAGAAGAUUGUUGAGCGUGCCCUUGAUGGCCAAGUACCUGAAAUUGUUUACAAAGGCCAGCACAACCUUGAACGACCACAAGCUAACAAGCAUAGAAAAGACAUCUAAUUGAAUCAGACAACGUUAAAGCCAGUACUAAGAAUUUCACCAAGUAAACCAACAGUACUCCCACUUGAAGGGAAAUAAGCAAAGAAGUUAGAACUUUGCCAAUGUGUGGUGCCGUGGAUAAUUUUGUUUUGUACAUCUCGGAGAAUUGUUUGAAAUGGUUCAGGACUGCAUGGGGUGGAUUCAUGUAUGAUUUUGUGUAGAUAGCCGGUAAAACUUGGCUUCGAACAGGAUACUUGUGAGUUGUGAACUUCAUAAUAGUAAUAGGCCAGAAAAUCAAUCAAGUGGCAUUGCUUUCUGAACUCUCCAGGGUUUAAAGGAUUUAUCGGAGUUGUAAUUAGAUUUAUAAAUGCAGAUGUUGGUUUAAUUAGAUGCAUUCA